CCAAUAGCGUAUAUUAAAGUUGUUGCAGUUAAAAAGCUCGUAGUUGAACUUCGGGGUUUACCCAUUGGUCAGGCUUAAUUGUCUGUACUGGUGAGAUGAAUCUCUACCUUCUGAGGAACUUUCAUGCCAUUUAUUUGGUGUGAUGGGAAAUCAGGACUGUUACUUUGAAAAAAUUAGAGUGUUUAAAGCAGGCUAACGUCUGAAUACAUUAGCAUGGAAUAAUGAAAUAGGACGGACUGAUUCUAUUUCGUUGGUUUCUAGGAUCACCGUAAUGAUUAAUAGGGAUAGUUGGGGGCAUUAGUAUUCAAUUGUCAGAGGUGAAAUUCUUGGAUUUAUUGAAGACUAACUACUGCGAAAGCAUUUGCCAAGGAUGUUUUCAUUAAUCAAGAACGAAAGUUAGGGGAUCGAAGACGAUCAGAUACCGUCGUAGUCUUAACCAUAAACUAUGCCGACUAGGGAUCGGAUGAUGUUAAUUUUUUAAUGACUCAUUCGGCGCCUUACG
rnacentral:rRNA from 1 species